GAGGAAUGUAUAGCAAUAGCUACUAGUAUCAUUAUAAAUAUGAUGCAAGAUCGACUAUGUUGAAUAAAAUUCUAGGUAGAAUUAUGAUAAUGACAUUGUCUGCCUAUGUGUCUUGACCAAAUUACGUGCCAGCAGUCGCGGUAAUACGUAGAAGACUAGUGUUAUUCAUGUUUAAUCGGUUUAAAGGGUACCUAGACGGUAAAUCAAGCCUACAAAAUAACUAAAAUAAAAAAUAAAGGGACUAAUUUACUAGAGUUACUUAUGAGGGGGUAUUAAAGUACUGCUGGUGUAGAGAUGAAAUUCUUUGAUACCUCUUUUCAAUAGAAAAACAAUGGCACAGGUAUAGGCGAAAGCAUCCCCUUAUGUGAUAACUGACGUUGAGGGACGAAGGCUUUGUGUAGCGAACAGGAUUAGAUACCCCAGUAGUCAAAGCAGAAAAUGAUGAAUGUCAUAGAUUAGAUAAAUAAGUUUAUUCUAUAAAUGAAAGUGUAAGCAUUCCACCUCAAGAGUAAUUUGGCAACAUUGGAACUGAAAUCAUUAGACCGUUUCUGAAACCAGUAGUGAAGUAUGUUGUUUAAUUUGAUGAUCCGCAAAAAACCUUACCACAAUUUGAAUAUUUAUAUCUUUUAUUGUUUUUUUUUUUAUUUCGAUGCCAUUCUCAUGCUUCGCAAGUAAGUGAAUCAUGGCAUGGUAUCGCUAUAAAAAUGAGGAGGCAAUAAGAUAUAUUUACAAGCGUUGCACGGCUGUCUUCAGUUAAUGUCGCGAGACCAUGGUUAGUUCCAUUAAAUUAACGUAAACCCUUACUUUAUUUUUAGAUAGAGUAGUUCCCCGCUAUAUUGGAUAUGAU
rnacentral:rRNA from 1 species